CCAGAGGGUUGGGCGAUCGCGGCUCCGCGCAAGCGGGGGCGAGGAAAGUCCGGGCUCCACGAAAGCAACGGUGCCGGUUAAUGGCCGGCGGGGGCGACCCCAGGGACAGUGCAACAGAAAGCAAACCGCCGGUCUUCGGGCCGGUAAGGUCGAAAGGGUGCGGUAAGAGCGCACCGCGUCUCCGGUAACGGCAGGCGGCACGGUAAACCCCACCGGGAGCAAAACCGAAUAGGGGCGGCAUAUGGGCGUGUUUCGGCUCGUCGCCCGGGUUGGUUGCUGGAGGGGCGGAGCAAUCCGUCCCCUAGAUGAAUGGUCGCACAUCCGCCGUCGCCUUUGGGCUAUGGCGGAGGACAGAACCCGGCUUACAGACCCUCUGGCAUU
rnacentral:RNase_P_RNA from 1 species